GAUGAACGCUGGCGGCGUGCUUAACACAUGCAAGUCGAACGGUGAAGGCGGAGCUUGCUCUGCUGGAUCAGUGGCGAACGGGUGAGUAACACGUGAGCAAUCUGCCCCUGACUCUGGGAUAAGCGCUGGAAACGGCGUCUAAUACUGGAUACGAGCUGCGAAGGCAUCUUCAGCAGCUGGAAAGAACUUCGGUCAGGGAUGAGCUCGCGGCCUAUCAGCUUGUUGGUGAGGUAACGGCUCACCAAGGCGUCGACGGGUAGCCGGCCUGAGAGGGUGACCGGCCACACUGGGACUGAGACACGGCCCAGACUCCUACGGGAGGCAGCAGUGGGGAAUAUUGCACAAUGGGCGAAAGCCUGAUGCAGCAACGCCGCGUGAGGGACGACGGCCUUCGGGUUGUAAACCUCUUUCAGCAGGGAAGAAGCGAAAGUGACGGUACCUGCAGAAGAAGCACCGGCUAACUACGUG
rnacentral:rRNA from 1 species